rnacentral:rRNA from 1 species
GUGGGGAAUAUUGGACAAUGGGCGAAAGCCUGAUCCAGCCAUGCCGCGUGUGUGAAGAAGGUCUUCGGAUUGUAAAGCACUUUAAGUUGGGAGGAAGGGCAGUAAGUUAAUACCUUGCUGUUUUGACGUUACCGACAGAAUAAGCACCGGCUAACUUCGUGCCAGCAGCCGCGGUAAUACGAAGGGUGCAAGCGUUAAUCGGAAUUACUGGGCGUAAAGCGCGCGUAGGUGGUUUUGUAAGUUGGAGGUGAAAUCCCCGGGCUCAACCUGGGAACUGCCUCCAAAACUGCAUGACUAGAGUACGGUAGAGGGUAGUGGAAUUUCCUGUGUAGCGGUGAAAUGCGUAGAUAUAGGAAGGAACACCAGUGGCGAAGGCGACUACCUGGACUGAUACUGACACUGAGGUGUGAAAGCGUGGGGAGCAAACAGGAUUAGAUACCCCGGUAGUCC